UUUGGAAACUCAUGAGGUGGCCAAAGUACUGGAGUUUCAGCUUUAGCAUCAUUCCUUAGGAAAGGAGAAUUUAAUUUGGCCAAAGAAAAGGAAUGGAGUAUAAAUAAAUUUUAAAGGUUUAUUAUGCAUGAUAUGGCAAAACUGUCCCUUGACAGGCUUAAUUUACAGAGUUGGCAUUUAGAGUGCAGAUAAUCCAGGCAGACACUGACUCAAGCAGCAUUACUAGGGUCAACCUUAUGUAAGAAGGGAAGUUUCUUCUACUUAACAUAGUUAUCGUGUAAUGUAUUUCUGGAGUCCUCUGACACGUUAAUACAGUAGCUAUCCAACUUGUCUGGAUAUGAUUAGGUUAUUUUCCCUCCAGAAAUCCUUUUGGGUAUCCCAUUCCCUGUCUUCCUAAAUUUUCUACGCAGGCUUUUCCUACUUUUUUUCUCAGUCCCUUUAAUGACGGUGUUCACUGGGUUUUUGUCCCUGGCUACGCGGGGUUUUCACUGCAUGCACCCUGGCGUUUUCACUUACCCUCAUAGCUUUGGCCUACACUUCUCCUCUUCUCUUGUUAAAAUGCUUAGCCCAUGCAAGGCACUCUGCUAUCUUAUGAUGGAUAAUAUAAACAUUAUUUCUACCUCCAAUAGAAUUUAUAUACAAAUGAGGAAAGAGAAAAAAAGUUACUAAGUGAAUAAUAUAUAGUAAUAGGUGCUAUGAAGGAGUUUAACAAUAGCUGGGGCAGUUACUUCAGACAGAGAAGUCAAGAGGCAGUGUCUCCCAGGAGACCCAGACCUAAAUGGUAAGAAUUAAUCAUUUGGUGGAGGAGGAGAAGGAAAGAGAUUCUUGGUGGAGGAAAUGACAGUAGAAAUACCCAAGGUGGGAAAAAUUUGGUUGUCCUCAAGAAGCUGAUAGGCUUGAGGGGCCAGCAAAUUCAAAGAGAAGAAAGGCGGGAGGCAGUUUUGCGAUGUUGCAGGGGCUGCGUCAUGCAGCAGCUUUGUAGUCUAUGGUAGUAAGGACGCGCCUGUUCAGUCUCUUCAGUCGUGUCCAGCUCUUUUCCACCACAUGGACUGCAGCCCUCCAGUAUCCUUGCCUGGAAAAUCCCAUGGACAGAGGAGCCUGAUGGGCAGCAGUCCAUGGUGUCCUGAAGAGUCGGGUACGACUGAGCAACUAACACUUUCACUUUCUCCAAUAUAAGACCAUUGUAUUUUAUUUUAGCCUGUGGUGCUGAACUUUGUAGGCACACUGACAUGUUUCAUAAUUCACAUGUCCAUUCUCACUGUCAAAUGUUUGUAAAGAGCAAAUCAAAAGCAUAAAAUAAAGAUCCUCAUAUUAUGCUUGGAGAAAGGCACUAUUUCUGAAUAUUUCAGGGAUAUAGAUGUGUGGAAAUGCCUAAAAGUUGUAUAUUUAAGUAUUCAUAGAAUGAAGUCCUGAUAACUAUAUUAGUAAGAAAAGCUAAAAUGUAUUGUGCUCAUUAUUUUCCAAUCUGUGCUAAACACAUUUGCAUUUUUUCUUGACCUUAGAAAAAAAUCAGGCUCUGUGAUAGGAAUUGGUUAAAAAAAAUUAACAUACAGUAGGUGAUAUCACUUGAGAGAUCUACACUUGUCGUAUUUUUCACUAUGUCCAUUAGUGAGGAAUUAACCAGUUGAAUUUAAUGAAAAUACUUGGUAAUAUUAAAUGAAAAAUGCGUACAAGUUACAAUUUGUACAACUACAAAACUACAACAUUGUAAAAAUACAAGGUGAAAAUAGAAAUAAACCAAAUAUCAGCAGUUUUAUAACCGCUUAUUGUUGGGGGUGGGGAAUAUCAAAUGAACACAGUGGAUUUAAGCGUUAUCCAAUUAUUUUUUAAGAUCUUUUAAAAAUAUUUUGACUUUUGUUCCCCCUUCAGUAGUCAUACAACGAAAUGUUUCAGAUUUCUUCCACAUGAAUAACAUUUCAGACAUUCAUUUUCAGAAAAUAGUCCCUGAGAUUCAGAAAAUAUUAAGAAUAUUGGAUAACACUUAAAUCUGCUAAGUGUUCAUUUGAUAUUCCCCACCCUCAGCAGUUAUAAAACUGCUGACAUUUGGUUUCUUUCUAUUUUUAACUUGUAUUUUUACAGUGUUGUAGUUUCGUAGUUGUAUAA
ensembl:lncRNA